UCCCAGGUGGCUCAGUGGUAGAGAAUCUGCCUGCCAAGCAGGAGACACAGGUUCGAUUCCUUGGUCAGGAA
rnacentral:tRNA from 1 species